UCUGCACUCGCGUGGGAACGAGAAGACA
rnacentral:piRNA from 1 species